CGGACAAUAUACAAGGUGCUGCAUGGUUGUCGUCAGCUCGUGUCGUGAGAUGUUGGGUUAAGUCCCGUAACGAGCGCAACCCUUGUCCUUAGUUACCAGCACGUUAUGGUGGGCACUCUAAGGAGACUGCCGGUGACAAACCGGAGGAAGGUGGGGAUGACGUCAAGUCAUCAUGGCCCUUACGGCCUGGGCUACACACGUGCUACAAUGGUCGGUACAAAGGGUUGCCAAGCCGCGAGGUGGAGCUAAUCCCAUAAAACCGAUCGUAGUCCGGAUCGCAGUCUGCAACUCGACUGCGUGAAGUCGGAAUCGCUAGUAAUCGUGAAUCAGAAUGUCACGGUGAAUACGUUCCCGGGCCUU
rnacentral:rRNA from 1 species